rnacentral:rRNA from 1 species
AGUGAACGCUGGCGGCAGGCCUAACACAUGCAAGUCGAGCGGCAGCGCGGGGGCAACCCUGGCGGCGAGCGGCGGACGGGUGAGGAAUUCGUCGGAAUCUGCCUUUUUGUGGGGGAUAACGUAGGGAAACUUACGCUAAUACCGCAUACGUCCUACGGGAGAAAGUGGGGGACCGCAAGACCUCACGCAGAAAGAUGAGCCGACGACCGAUUAGCUAGUUGGUGGGGUAAAGGCCCACCAAGGCGACGAUCGGUAGCUGGUCUGAGAGGAUGAUCAGCCACACUGGGACUGAGACACGGCCCAGACUCCUACGGGAGGCAGCAGUGGGGAAUAUUGGACAAUGGGCGCAAGCCUGAUCCAGCCAUGCCGCGUGUGUGAAGAAGGCCUUCGGGUUGUAAAGCACUUUUGUCCGGAAAGAAAUCCCUGGAGCUAAUACCUUCGGGGGAUGACGGUACCGGAAGAAUAAGCACCGGCUAACUUCGUG